rnacentral:tRNA from 1 species
AGCCUCGUGGUGAAGUUUUCACGUUGGAUUGCAAAUCCAGAGACGCAGAUUAAUAGUCCGCCGGGGCUU